rnacentral:misc_RNA from 1 species
GAUGAAGAACGUAGCGAAAUGCGAUAAGUAAUGUGAAUUGCAGAAUUCAGUGAAUCAUCGAAUCUUUGAACGCACAUUGCGCCCGCCAGCAUUCUGGCGGGCAUGCCUGUUCGAGCGUCAUUUCAACCCUCGACUUCCCUUUGGGGAAAUCGGCGUUGGGGACCGGCUGUAUACCGCCGGCCCCGAAAUGAAGUGGCGGCCCGUCCGCGGCGACCUCUGCGUAGUAAUCCAACUCGCACCGGAACCCCGACGUGGCCACGCCGUAAAACCCCCGACUUCUGAACGUUGACCUCGGAUCAGGUAGGAAUACCCGCUGAACUUAAGCAUAUCAUAAGCGGAGGA